rnacentral:lncRNA from 1 species
AUAUUUCAGCAGACGACAUUCUUGUUGAUGAGGUGAAAAGUCCCAGACAUGGUGUAAUUUAUGAUGAAAUAGAUGAAGAAGUUGGGGAGGAAAACAGAAUCCCGUCAUUAAAACAUCCUAAGAAUGAAGUUUUUGGUUCUCCGGUGCACCAAACAGGAAAUGAGAAGGAGAUUGAAGGAUUUACAAAGCAAGGUGCAGAAAAACUAGACAUAAAUAAGAAGCCAAUAUCAAUGAGAACUAGGAAGAACUAUCACUGGUGAACCAAGAAUGGGUAGAUGUUAAAGAAAAGGAGAUCAAAAGGAUUCGUAAAGCAAGGUACAGAAAACCUAUACAUAAAUAAGAAGCCAAUAUCGAU